CAUCUUUGAGCUUCUUAAAGCUGGACCUGGUGGCUCAGUCGCUGUUAUACCUGAGAGCCCUGUACAUGCUUGGGGCUUAAGGAUGAAUGAAGGAAUAGAGGAACGGCCUCAAGGAUGACAGCCAUUGGGUGCAUAGGUAGGAUCUACGCACAACAUAGGGCUUGAACUCACAACCCCAAGAUCAAGAGUCACAUGCUCUACCAACUGAGCCAGCCAGGUGUCCCAGACACCCAACUUUAUUUCAUGGAGAGUCCACUGCCCUUUCAGGGCAAUGCUGUGUUCAGUGCUAUGCUUACUUGCAUGAUUUUUGUUGCUGUCUUUCUCAAAUCCUUUAAUUUGAUCAUAACUUGUACCAUCGGCCCUCUGUUUUGAUUCUCACUCAUUCUGCAUAUGUCUACAUGGUGGAUUCAACAGAAUAGCAGCCACACUGAAACAUGUUGGAUUCAGACAUGCAACCUCCUUGAUUGUUUGGACAUGCUCUGAAGGAUUCUAAACUUAGAAAGAGCCAAAGGGCUGACACAAGAAAACCUGGGGCCUGGGCAGUGGGUGAUUUAAUUGGUAAGGAUCCUGGAGCUAUUUUGAGUCUGGCUGACACUCAGCAGAGCCAAGGCACGCAGAAAAUAGUGAUGAAAUGGAUUAAAGAAUGGAUUUGUGUAUUU